ensembl:snRNA U1 U1 spliceosomal RNA
ACUAACACCUGGCACGGAAGAUACCAUAAUCACGAAGGUGGUUUUCCGAGGGCGAGGCUUAUCCAUUGCACUCCGGAUGUGCUGACCCCCUGCGAUUUCCGCAAAUGUGGGAAACCCGACUGCAUAAUUUGUGGUAGUGGGAGACUGCGUUCAUGCUCUCCCCUG